UACAGAGGGGGCAAGCGUUGUUCGGAAUUACUGGGCGUAAAGGGCGCGUAGGCGGCCUUCUAAGUCGAACGUGAAAUCCCCGGGCUCAACCCGGGAACUGCGUCCGAUACUGGAAGGCUUGAAUCCGGGAGAGGGAUGCGGAAUUCCAGGUGUAGCGGUGAAAUGCGUAGAUAUCAGGAGGAACACCCGUGGCGAAGGCGGUUCUCCUGGGACGGUACUGACGCUGGAGACGCGAAAGCGUGGGGAGCAAACAGG
rnacentral:rRNA from 1 species